rnacentral:rRNA from 1 species
UGAGGAAUAUUGGUCAAUGGACGAGAGUCUGAACCAGCCAAGUAGCGUGAAGGAUGAAGGUCCUACGGAUUGUAAACUUCUUUUAUAAGGGAAUAAACCCUCCCACGUGUGGGAGCUUGUAUGUACCUUAUGAAUAAGCAUCGGCUAACUCCGUGCCAGCAGCCGCGGUAAUACGGAGGAUGCGAGCGUUAUCCGGAUUUAUUGGGUUUAAAGGGAGCGCAGACGGGUCGUUAAGUCAGCUGUGAAAGUUUGGGGCUCAACCUUGAAAUUGCAGUUGAUACUGGCGUCCUUGAGUGCGGUUGAGGUGUGCGGAAUUCGUGGUGUAGCGGUGAAAUGCUUAGAUAUCACGAAGAACUCCGAUUGCGAAGGCAGCACACUAAGCCGUAACUGACGUUCAUGCUCGAAAGUGUGGGUAUCAAACAGGAUUAGAUACCCUGGUAGUCCACACGGUAAACGAUGGAUACUCGCUGUUGGCGAUAUACUGUCAGCGGCCAAGCGAAAGCAUUAAGUAUCCCACCUGGGGAGUACGCCGGCAACGGUGAAACUCAAAGGAAUUGACGGGGGCCCGCACAAGCGGAGGAACAUGUGGUUUAAUUCGAUGAUACGCGAGGAACCUUACCCGGGCUUAAAUUGCAGACGAAUUACGAGGAAACUUGUAAGCCGCAAAGCGUCUGUGAAGGUGCUGCAUGGUUGUCGUCAGCUCGUGCCGUGAGGUGUCGGCUUAAGUGCCAUAACGAGCGCAACCCUCGUGGUCAGUUACUAACAGGUUAAGCUGAGGACUCUGGCCAGACUGCCAUCGUAAGAUGUGAGGAAGGUGGGGAUGACGUCAAAUCAGCACGGCCCUUACGUCCGGGGCUACACACGUGUUACAAUGGGAGGUACAGAAGGCAGCUACCCGGCGACGGGAUGCCAAUCCCCAAAACCUCUCUCAGUUCGGACUGGAGUCUGCAACCCGACUCCACGAAGCUGGAUUCGCUAGUAAUCGCGCAUCAGCCACGGCGCGGUGAAUACGUUCCC